rnacentral:rRNA from 1 species
GGCUAGCGUUGUUCGGAAUCACUGGGCGUAAAGCGCACGCAGGCGGGUCGUUAAGUCAGGGGUGAAAUGCCGAGGCUCAACCUCGGAACUGCCUUUGAUACUGGCGAUCUUAGAGUCCGGGAGAGGUGAGUGGAACUCCGAGUGUAGAGGUGAAAUUCGUAGAUAUUCGGAAGAACACCAGUGGCGAAGGCGGCUCACUGGCCCGGUACUGACGCUCAGGUGCGAAGGCGUGGGGAGCAAACAGG